GUGGUGUGUUUCUUACGCAUUCCUCAUGGCUGCUGUCAUAGCAGGGGAUAGUUAUGAGGACAGUGAAUAGCCUGGCUCCAGGGAAUCCAUGGAAAUUUCUGCUGGCAUGAGUAAAGAAGAAACAUGGGGUGGGAACUUACUCAGUGACUUAAAGUCAACUGUAGGAAAAGAGUUUCUAACUCCAUAAUGAUAAUAGUGAUACACAAUGCCUGAUCAGGACAAAAAGUUGAAGAGCACAGAAAAAGCAAUAGGAAAAAAAGCCUCCUGGGAUCUCUAUGAGGCAUUCUGGAGAAGCUGUAAAUUCUUCUGUAUGUAAAAUGUGGACACCAGGCAACACUAGAAAACUUUAUUUUCUUGAUUAUUGUGAUCUAAAAGGGUUUCAGUCUCUCUUAAGUGUUCAGUCAAGGAACCAACAGCUUCCAGCUAUAUAAAUUGAAAGUGGUCAAACAAGUGUGACAAGAACUUGGCAAAAUGUCAAAAGCUGUGAACAAAAGUCCAUUGGUCAAUGGCAAGAAUCAACAGAAGCUGUUGAGCUUGACAAAUUUAGGUAAAAAUAAUUAAAAGCUGAUGAUGACACUCUCGUAUCCGUGAAUAUGAGAUACCCUUAGAUACAUAAAGGUAUCACCUUGUUGAGGUGUUGAAGGCAUUUGUAUUUUUAUGUAUGUCUGUUACUUGUACUUUUCCUGUUAAUCCAGUAUUUGAGAUAAGAAUUACAUACUUUUAAUUU
rnacentral:lncRNA from 1 species